UAGUAGAUCAGUUGCCGAGGUAAAUUAUGCAUGCUGAUUAGCACACUGAUGGACAGUCACUGGUGGCUUUCAGAUGUUUUCAUCCGUCUGCUUUCAAAGCUUCGUGUUUUAGGUUAAUCUUCUGAAGUUGUGUGGAAGUUAAUUGCAGUGUUACAGGGGAUGUAUCAUUGACAUGCAUGUCAUACAUGAGAUUUAUAAUCAUAUUUUAAGUGAAAUACACCAUUUUCUUUUUAUUUUUUCUUUUUUAAAAAAAGUAUUUUUUAUGCUUAUGGCGUUUUUGCCUGAAUGAGUGUCUGUGUAUCACAUGUCUGGUGCCCUCCAGGGUCAGAAGGGCAUCAGAUCCCCUGGGACCAGAGUUGCAAAUGGUUCCAUUUUGCAACUUUGUGAGCCACUUCGUGGCUGCUGGGCCGGCAGGGAAGGCAGCCAGUGCUCUUCUUCAUCCUUGAGCAUCUCUCCAGCCCCUCAAGAGAUAUUUCUUUAAAACUUGUUCAUUUUCACUUAUGUGUAUAUGUGUGUGCCUGCCUGUCUGUAUGUGCAGUCAUGUAUGUGCAAAUGGCCAUGGAAGACGGGAGUCAUUGAAUCCCCUGGAGCUGGAGGUCUAGGCCAUUGUAAACUUCCAGCAAGUCCUGACCUCUCUCCAGCCAGGCCACCUCUCUAGCUUACAAAAGACAUUUUAAAGAGAAGUUGUUGUUUCAGAAGCCGGGCGUGGUGGUGCAUGCCUUUAAUCCCAGCACUCACCCAUUCCUAGAACUCACUCUGUAGACCCUGCUGGCCUUGAACUCAAAAAUCCACCUGCCUCUGUCUCCUAAGUGCUGGGAUUACAGGCGUGCGUGUGCUACUACUGCCCCGCUACAACUUUUCUUUUUGGAGAUUUUUAAGAGCAAUGAUUAAUCCCUGCACCAAACUCAUACCAUAUUGUUUAUUUAUUUAUAUUUUACCAAAUGCUUUAUACAGAAGAAAGCAGGCACUGUGUGUGACUUGCUUGUAGGGACAAGUGGAAAAACAGGCUUUAGGCCUACCUAAGGCUUGAAUGUGGGAGGGAGUCACAGGCCCAGGCAUACUACUGCUUAAAUAUUAAUAAGUGUGCAGUCAGUACAGCAAUACAUCUGAAAAGGUAGCUGCCCCAGACACUCCUGUGAUUUUAGUCAGUGGUCUGCCAGUGUCUGUCUCUUACCUUAAUUUGCUUUAAGUGGAUCCUAGACACUUACAGCCAGAAUAACCGCAGAAAGCCCCUGCCAGCUUCACUGGCUACAGUUACCAUAAAAGCCAUGUAAAUACUUUAGCCACCGCUUGUCUUCCUUGUGACUCUUACUGGUUCUGGAGUUUUAGCACCUUUAGUGAUACUUCAGUUAUAGGACGUUGACAGUUUCAUCGAAAACACGGGCCCAGAGAUUUGGAACAUCUUUAAUUAAGCUUUGGUCUUCAAGGUGCUCUCUGUUGCUCCGUGAUGUCGCCUCUUCAGUGAGCACGGUUCUGGACCCUACAGGGGAUGCAGGCGGCCGCGCUCUCUGCGACGGGGUUUAAAAGUCUCUGGUUACAGUCUGACCUGCUGAUAGAAGCACAUGGACAGCCUGGGACUUGCUCUGCUUUUUACAAUGUGGAUGCUUAAAAAAAAUCAUCUUUAAUUUUUUUUCCCAGUUCUAAAGCAACGAAAGUACUUGCUAUAUCACU
rnacentral:lncRNA from 1 species